rnacentral:rRNA from 1 species
GAUGAACGCUGGCGGCGUGCCUAAUACAUGCAAGUCGAGCGAACAGACGAGGAGCUUGCUCCUCUGACGUUAGCGGCGGACGGGUGAGUAACACGUGGAUAACCUACCUAUAAGACUGGGAUAACUUCGGGAAACCGGAGCUAAUACCGGAUAACAUGUUGAACCGCAUGGUUCAACAGUGAAAGACGGUCUUGCGGUCACUUAUAGAUGGAUCCGCGCCGCAUUAGCUAGUUGGUAAGGUAACGGCUUACCAAGGCAACGAUGCGUAGCCGACCUGAGAGGGUGAUCGGCCACACUGGAACUGAGACACGGUCCAGACUCCUACGGGAGGCAGCAGUAGGGAAUCUUCCGCAAUGGGCGAAAUCCUGACGGAGCAACGCCGCGUGAGUGACGAAGGUCUUCGGAUCGUAAAACUCUGUUAUUAGGGAAGAACAAAUGUGUAAGUAACUAUGCACGUCUUGACGGUACCUAAUCAGAAAGCCACGGCUAACUACGUG